AUUACUUCUUAUAUUACUUAUCACAUCACCAUUGGUAAUAGAACGUUAUUAGAAUCUUUUAUUAUAUAUAAACCAAACAAAGUAAUAUAAGUAAUAAAAGAUAAAUUACCAGAGUAAUCUUAAAUGUCCUUUAACCAAAUGCCCCUUACAGUUAUAGAAACUGUCAGGCCUGAUUCCUCUUUACACCAAGAUGUUUUUGUCAUUCCCCUUGGUCAUGAAAAUUUAAAAGGGUUGCAAAAUUUUUUCCUCGCAAUUAUUCUCUCUGAGAUUUGAUUCCCUCUGAGUCCAACAUGUUUUUGCCAUUCCCCUUAAUCAUGAAUUUGCUGAUGACUUAAUUCCUUAUCACUCCAAGACAAAGAUUAGUGCUUGUUAUAAGGCAAUUAGGAGAUUAGAGUACUGCAUUUAGUCAUUUGCUCUAACUGAGUGGAGAACUUGGGAUUUCCGUAAUGUAUACUUUGCUCUAUCAAGCCAUUUAGGCAUUGUACAGAUGGAUUUUUAGACGCUUGGGAUUAAGCAGAAAACAAGUUUUGGAAAGAAUAAAGGCCCAAAUUCAAUAAAAAUUAGAAGGAAUGAUGAAGAAAUUUACUGAAAAAAGAUGCAAUCCUAAAAAAUACAUGGAAAGAGCCAUGCCAAGAGGCACCACAAGCACGAAGAUGCAAUUUGCCAAGACAACAGAGAACACUUUUUUCCCUCCAAAUAUCUCAGUAUAAAAGGAUAACUGUAAGACGCUCUGCAAAUGGAGUUUAAGAUAGGAAAAUUGAUGAAGAUUACUAUGUAUCUUCAAUUGACUGUACCCUAAUCCCACACCUGCCAGGAUCUGCGUGAUUAGGGCAUCUUCAGAAAGAGAGCAUGGGAAUAUGCUGAAAGUAGCCAGUACUGGACUUCAUCUUGAAAAUACUCAUGGUUGUCUGACUUUUUAUUGUAUUUUAAAGUUGCACUCUAAGCUGUAGGAUACGAGCUUUGUCCUGUGAACAGUGAAAAUUUUGCAAGCUAGCAAAACCUCUUAAGCAGUUUACUAAUCUGUUACAGCACCAAGGACCACUUCUAUUGUAAUUGACUUCACCCAGCCUAACAAGGUCUGGUUCUGCAUACAUUGUUUGAGCCUGGAAUAGUGCUUAUGAAGGGAUGAUGAGUUUUCUU